CCGCAUUACCUCACUCAUUUUGUGCCCUUAAGCUUGUCUCUCUAAGUUGGUUGCCGUCGUGAAGCACACCAGCACUGUCGUGGUUGUCGUCGACGAUUUUACACUUCUAGUUUUGAAUAUAUAUACCCUAGGGUAUUAUUGUAUACUACUGAUGCUGUGUAUUUGAUACAGAAAAUCGAAAAGAAAAAUUGGAUUUGAGGCCAGCACCUCCAGACAAGGUAAGAGUGGAAGGUAUAUCUAAGGAAUUAUUGGCUAACAAUUUAUGGGUAAGCUUGUCUCCCUAAGGCAGGACCAUCAACCAUCUAGCAAUUCUUCAUUCCAGGAAUUGAACUCAGAUACAGGAGGGGGUAUACAACAAGUCACACACAUUGCUCAACCAACUGAACUAGAUCCGGAAUUCUGAUCCCAAAUUGUCCACGGCUAUGCAGCGAAAUUCUUGACAAGUUGAACCACCCUUUUCUACCUGCAUUAUCUAUAUGCUUCCUUCCAGACCAAAACUCACGUUUGGUUUGAUUACUAAUUAUUGUCCUAGAGGAGAACUAUUCCUGCUUCUUGAUCGGCAACCAACUAAGGUUCUCAAGGAAGAUGCCGUGAGGGGAAUUGAUGAUGUGGUGGUGAGAAUGAUGUAUGGGGAGUAGAACUACCAGGAGGAUUGUUGUUGUUGAAGAUGACAAGGGAGCUGAAAGAGGAAUGCCGAGCUUCAAUUCUGAGUUAACCAAUUCCAAUUCAUGAAUUUGUGCAGGCUUUCAAGUAGAGGUUUUUUCUUGAUCAUUGGGGAUAGAUAACAAUAAGUAGAUAUGAAGUUCAUGAAACUUGGAACAAGGCCAGAUACUUUCUACAGUGAACAAGCUACCAGAUGAUAUGGAGGAGAGAGAGCCGCUAAAAUUCUCGACAAAAUAUAACAUUCAAAUGGGCAUGAGGUGGCUGAUUAAGGGUAGCCAGUCAGGGGAUUCAUUGGUGUUAAUUUAAGUAUCAUUUUAAUCAUUUUUAGAUUUUUAGAUUCUUAACAGGGAGUAUAGAUGUUUUGUGUUUUACAUUUUUAGUACAAUUAAUGUGUAAGUCUGACUGAGUAAGGCUUUGUUUGUUAUUGUUCUUGUUGUUGUUUGUUGUGAGUGAUCCGUGUUUGGUAGAUUGAUGAAUUUCAGUUGCCUGCUGAUCUGUGUAGUUAAUGUCAUCCGGUAAGAUAAAUAAAAGUUGUGUUGUUGUGUGUGGUAGAGUAAUUGGUGUAAGUGAUUUUUGUGGUGAAAGUUUUGUAGCUCUGGCUAGUGUACAUACUUUUUGUUUUAGUUUCUGAAUUUUGAAGUGUGACCAGGUGGUUUAAGUGCAACUUGUGUAAGUGAUGUUUUGGGGCAAGUGUUCCUGAAUUCUAAACGCUAGUUUAGUAUUGAGUUUGAGGAAUGAAUAUUGGUUUAAGUGCAUGUUUUAUGUCUCACCUUGUGCCUGUUUUAUUUCUCACCUUGUGCCUGUUUUAAACCAUUUAUUGACUACUUAUUUUGUUCUCCAGACUGUUUAGAUAGGCAGUUGGGACCGAGGCUUCUUGGGAGGACUGAUGAUUCAGGGGUAAAUAACAGUGAGCCCUGAUUGUCUUCUCCAGCAAAGCUCAACUGUAGAAGAUUCAAUUUCUUUCAAAUUUUCUUAUGGUAUAACUGAAUCAGUUCCAUGCUCAUACACUGAAUUUGCCGAGUGACUGGUGCUGCCGCAGUAUAAAAAUUUACCUGACACAGAGGUUAAAGAGUUCCAUAGAAGAGAUGGUUUUGAGGUAGCAAGUGCUGACAAGAUGGCUAAGUCAUGCAUGGUUUAUUUUGAAAUGCAUCUAUCCCUAAGGAAAAAAAUAAUUACAAAAGCUUUUAAUGGUAGUUAUAGUAUCUACAAGGAAACUUUUUGUAACCAGGUCUAUUGCCUUUUUGUUUGAGUAACUGGACAUGCAGGUACAAUAAUUGUUGUUGAAGAUGACAAGGGACCUGAAAGAGGAAUGCCGAGCUUCAAUUCUGAGUUACCCAAUUCCAAUUCAUGGGUUGAGGAUGUUACAAGAGUUUGGGAUCCUUGCUGACCAGUGACUAGGGUUGAGGAUUUUACCAAGAGUUGAAGACCGUUGCUACUAGAAUGUCAAGGUAAAGAGAAAUGUUGUUAAUUAGUAUCCUUUUAAGGUAAAAAAAAA